UCCCUGGUAGUAUAUCGGCUAGUACACGCGCCUGUCAUACACAUGCACAUUUGUUUGACCCGCGCGAAAGCUGGGUUCGACUCCCAGCCAGGGAG